UACGUAGGGUGCGAGCGUUAAUCGGAAUUACUGGGCGUAAAGCGUGCGCAGGCGGUUUGCUAAGACCGAUGUGAAAUCCCCGGGCUUAACCUGGGAACUGCAUUGGUGACUGGCAGGCUAGAGUAUGGCAGAGGGGGGUGGAAUUCCACGUGUAGCAGUGAAAUGCGUAGAGAUGUGGAGGAAUACCGAUGGCGAAGGCAGCCCCCUGGGCCAAUACUGACGCUCAUGCACGAAAGCGUGGGGAGCAAACAGG
rnacentral:rRNA from 1 species